rnacentral:rRNA from 1 species
UACGGGGGGGGCAAGCGUUGUUCGGAAUUACUGGGCGUAAAGGGCUCGUAGGCGGCCAACUAAGUCAUACGUGAAAUCCCUCGGCUUAACCGGGGAACUGCGUCUGAUACUGGAUGGCUUGAGUGCAGGAGAGGAACGCGGAAUUCCAGGUGUAGCGGUGAAAUGCGUAGAUAUCUGGAGGAACACCGGUGGCGAAGGCGGCGUUCUGGACUGCUACUGACACUGAGGAACGAAAGCCAGGGGAGCAAACGGG